rnacentral:rRNA from 1 species
GGGGAUCAGAGUAAGGGUGCUCAGCGCCCGACCUCCAACCCUUUGUUGUUAAAACUACCUUGUUGCUUUGGCGGGACCGCUCGGUCUCGAGCCGCUGGGGAUUCGUCCCAGGCGAGCGCCCGCCAGAGUUAAACCAAACUCUUGUUAUUUAACCGGUCGUCUGAGUUAAAAUUUUGAAUAAAUCAAAACUUUCAACAACGGAUCUCUUGGUUCUCGCAUCGAUGAAGAACGCAGCGAAAUGCGAUAAGUAAUGUGAAUUGCAGAAUUCAGUGAAUCAUCGAAUCUUUGAACGCACAUUGCGCCCCUUGGUAUUCCGAGGGGCAUGCCUGUUCGAGCGUCAUUACACCACUCAAGCUAUGCUUGGUAUUGGGUGCCGUCCUUAGUUGGGCGCGCCUUAAAGACCUCGGCGAGGCCUCACCGGCUUUAGGCGUAGUAGAAUUUAUUCGAACGUCUGUCAAAGGAGAGGACUUCUGCCGACUGAAACCUUUAUUUUUCUAGGUUGACCUCGGAUCAGGUAGGGAUACCCGCUGAACUUAAGCAUAUCAAUAAGCGGAGGAAAGUAA